rnacentral:tRNA from 1 species
UAAAGGUUAGUUUAAAAAUUUUUAAAAACUUUGGUUUGUGGACCCAAAAAUAAUCUCAGAUUACCUUUAU